GACGAACGCUGGCGGCGUGCUUAACACAUGCAAGUCGAACGGAAAGGCCCUGCUUUUGUGGGGUGCUCGAGGGGCGAACGGGUGAGUAACACGUGAGUAACCUGCCCUAGACUUUGGGAUAACUUCAGGAAACUGGGGCUACUACCGGAUAGGAGCUCCUCCUGCAUGGUGGGGGUUGGAAAGUUUCGGCGGUUGGGGAUGGACUGGCGGCUGAUCGGCUUGCUGGUUGGGUAGUGGCUGACCAACGCUGUGGCGGGUAGGCGGCCUGGGAGGGUGAACGGCCUCCAUGGUCCUACGGGACGGCGCAGACUCGUACGGUGGGCAACAGUCGGAAAUCUUGCACAGUGGGCGGAAGCCGGAUGCGGCGGCGCCGCGUUCGGGAUGCCGGCCUUCGGGGUGUAAACCGCUUUCGCCUGUGACGAAGCGUUAGUGACGGUACUGGGUAAAUAAGCACCGGCUAACUACGUG
rnacentral:rRNA from 1 species